rnacentral:rRNA from 3 species
GCAGUCGAGCGGACAGAUGGGAGCUUGCUCCCUGAUGUUAGCGGCGGACGGGUGAGUAACACGUGGGUAACCUGCCUGUAAGACUGGGAUAACUCCGGGAAACCGGGGCUAAUACCGGAUGGUUGUUUGAACCGCAUGGUUCAAACAUAAAAGGUGGCUUCGGCUACCACUUACAGAUGGACCCGCGGCGCAUUAGCUAGUUGGUGAGGUAACGGCUCACCAAGGCAACGAUGCGUAGCCGACCUGAGAGGGUGAUCGGCCACACUGGGACUGAGACACGGCCCAGACUCCUACGGGAGGCAGCAGUAGGGAAUCUUCCGCAAUGGACGAAAGUCUGACGGAGCAACGCCGCGUGAGUGAUGAAGGUUUUCGGAUCGUAAAGCUCUGUUGUUAGGGAAGAACAAGUACCGUUCGAAUAGGGCGGUACCUUGACGGUACCUAACCAGAAAGCCACGGCUAACUACGUGCCAGCAGCCGCGGUAAUACGUAGGUGGCAAGCGUUGUCCGGAAUUAUUGGGCGUAAAGGGCUCGCAGGCGGUUUCUUAAGUCUGAUGUGAAAGCCCCCGGCUCAACCGGGGAGGGUCAUUGGAAACUGGGGAACUUGAGUGCAGAAGAGGAGAGUGGAAUUCCACGUGUAGC